UGGGGAAUAUUGGGCAAUGGGCGCAAGCCUAACCCAGCAACGCCGCGUGAAGGAAGAAGGCUUUCGGGUUGUAAACUUCUUUUGUCAGGGACGAAGCAAGUGACGGUACCUGACGAAUAAGCCACGGCUAACUACGUGCC
rnacentral:rRNA from 1 species